rnacentral:rRNA from 1 species
GAUGAACGCUAGCGGGGGGCCUAACACAUGCAAGCCGAGCGGUAUUUGUUCUUCGGAACAGAGAGAGCGGCGCACGGGUGCGGAACACGUGUGCAACCUGCCUUUAUCUGGGGGAUAGCCUUUCGAAAGGAAGAUUAAUACCCCAUAAUAUAUUGAGUGGCAUCACUUGAUAUUGAAAACUCCGGUGGAUAGAGAUGGGCACGCGCAAGAUUAGAUAGUUGGUGAGGUAACGGCUCACCAAGUCAAUGAUCUUUAGGGGGCCUGAGAGGGUGAUCCCCCACACUGGUUCUGAGACACGGACCAGACUCCUACGGGAGGCAGCAGUGAGGAAUAUUGGACAAUGGGUUAGCGCCUGAUCCAGCCAUCCCGCGUGAAGGACGACGGCCCUAUGGGUUGUAAACUUCUUUUGUAUAGGGAUAAACCUACUCUCGUGAGAGUAGCUGAAGGUACUAUACGAAUAAGCACCGGCUAACUCCGUG